CAUCAUGACUUAUAAACAAGUUCAUUUUUACAAACCUGUUUGCCAAAGCAACACAUCCAAACACUCUUGUCUCCCAGUCCCAGAAGCUAUGAAUUGAACUGAAUCCUGAACCGUUCAGCUGUGUAUCAGUUCAGGAAGUCGGAGUCACAGGCUUCUGCCACCAAGCACUGAAUAAUUCGGUGAUUCAAUGAACGAAUCUUUUGAACGACUCUUUUUAGUGAAC